AGCGAACGCUGGCGGCAGGCUUAACACAUGCAAGUCGAACGGGCACUUCGGUGCUAGUGGCAGACGGGUGAGUAACACGUGGGAACGUACCUUUCGGUUCGGAAUAAUUCAGGGAAACUUGGACUAAUACCGGAUACGCCCUUCGGGGGAAAGAUUUAUCGCCGAUAGAUCGGCCCGCGUCUGAUUAGCUAGUUGGUGAGGUAAUGGCUCACCAAGGCGACGAUCAGUAGCUGGUCUGAGAGGAUGAUCAGCCACAUUGGGACUGAGACACGGCCCAAACUCCUACGGGAGGCAGCAGUGGGGAAUAUUGGACAAUGGGCGCAAGCCUGAUCCAGCCAUGCCGCGUGAGUGAUGAAGGCCUUAGGGUUGUAAAGCUCUUUUGUCCGGGAAGAUAAUGACUGUACCGGAAGAAUAAGCCCCGGCUAACUUCGUGCCAGCCGCCGCAGUAAGAC
rnacentral:rRNA from 1 species